CGCUGGUCCCGACCAGGAUGAAGCCGGAGCAGAAAACAGCAUUUCGACGGGUCCCCUAAAUUCUCGCCGUCUCCCUGCAUCUCAGAAGUGCUGUUUUCGUGGUUGCGAUGCGCGGCCAUGGAUGACCGAGAGAGGCGAUGCAGCUCGUCGGGGUUGUCGGACGGGCCUGACACCACGUGCCGGAUGGAGAUGCCGUGCCUGGGAUGGGGAGACGGAGAAACGCACGGAGCGGCGUGCGCCUCGCCAGUGCGCACACAGCCGGGCACCCACCAAGCCGGAGAGGAUUCGCAGCGUGAACUGGUUUUAGACAUAUAUAAAUAAGCUCUGUGGCUUYGCCACAAGGCGACACGCCGAACCCGUGCGCUCCCCUGGGGGCGAGACCUCCGGCUUUGCAACCAGUCAUGCAGCACUCCGGCUUUCGGCUGCUGUGAUUAUAACACCAAAUAUUCUGUUGCAGAAAUAAAACGCUAAUUCUGGCAGGACUCGCGUGGUGGCGAGGACAGACCUCUUUUCUGCACAGGCUAGUUUUUGUUUGGAAGCUAUUUUAUCGCAGUGGCAGGAACAUAUCCACGUGUUAUUUGCAAGCAGCCAUGUGKUUUUUUUUUCUUUUUCCUAAUCAGCUGGAUAUUUUCAGCCUGCGAGCAGAGCUGCGUUUUGCCAGAAGCGGCUGUCACGUGAGCUGGUUCGCCCUGGGUGCAGCGUGCAGAGCGCUGACAGCACUCAGCCUGCCCUUCCCGACACCGAAACACGCGUCUCGCUUUGAGGCCGUCGCUGUCACGAUAGGAGAAUCAAGUCCCUCCCGUACUCUCCSUAUGCAAUGGGCUUUGCCUUUCCUCAAGUAACC
rnacentral:lncRNA from 1 species